rnacentral:rRNA from 1 species
GAUGAACGCUGACAGAAUGCUUAACACAUGCAAGUCUUUGGCGAAGCUGUGCUUGCACAGCCUAGCCAAGGCGGACGGGUGAGUAACGCGUAAGGAACUUGCCCUGCAGUCAGGGAUAACAGACGGAAACGACUGAUAAGACCUGGUAAAGUCAGGCGGACUCAUGUCCAGCCUGAUGAAAAGAGAUGCUGCAGGAGAGCCUUGCGUCCUAUUAGCUUGUUGGUGGGGUAACGGCCCACCAAGGCGAUGAUAGGUAGCCGGCCUGAGAGGGUGGACGGCCACAAGGGGACUGAGAUACGGCCCUUACUCCUACGGGAGGCAGCAGUGGGGAAUAUUGGACAAUGGGGGCAACCCUGAUCCAGCAAUUCUGUGUGCACGAUGAGGGUUUUCGGAUUGUAAAGUGCUUUCAGCAGGGAAGAAAAAAUGACGGUACCUGCAGAAGAAGCGACGGCUAAAUACGUG